AAAUAAAAAGAGUCUGAGCAAUCAUGUUGUCUUAGACUCUGACUGUAUUAUGCAAAAGAUGAUGGACUGGCAGCUUCAUUUACUCACCGAAUUCCCCUUU
rnacentral:antisense_RNA from 1 species